UAGGAAUGUCAGAGAGUGGAAGAAGAGAUCAAAUGAAGAGAGGGCAUGGCAUAGAUUUGAUCUUCCAACAGAGAACAGAAGAAAGGUUUCCUAGUAUGGCAGUCCAUUCUGGCAUGGAACUGAGUACCAUGGAAAAAAGUAGGAAAACAGUGAAAGUCCAGUCUUCUAUCAGCAGAAAGAACACUGAUAGAAACAGUGUUGUGGUGUCCUUGCUUGCGAGCACCCAGGAAUCAAUUUAUCUUGGAACCAAUGUUUUGUCCUAAAGGAGUGGGACACAGAGCAUCUGUCCUCUCCCUAUAGCACAAGCACAGCUGGUCAGAGAACACAAGCUUCCAGUGUCAACCAAAAUGUAAAACUAUAGGGUCAAGAGUCAACAGAAAGAGCUGUUUCCCUGUGAGAGAGCGGUAAGCAGAAAGAAUUUCUUAGCACAGGGAUGCCAACUAUGCUUCUCUCAGAACUCAGGCAGGAAGCUUCUGCUCACACAGAACCUUGAGCAAGUCUGUCCAUCAGCAAAGGCUUAGGAAAAGCACCCAGGUAUGUCCCAGGAUAGAUAAGGAGCACAACAUAGACACACAGCGGAGAAGAAGAUUCAAACUGAGCUUUGGAAAUGAAGAAUUGAGAGAACUUGGAAAGGUUUGGGAAGGACAUGGCCAAAAUGAGCAACAGCUUGGGGGAGAAAAAAGACAACUUUUCCUGCUGGAGGAAAAAUGGAAGAAAUUAUUCAC
rnacentral:lncRNA from 1 species